rnacentral:rRNA from 1 species
UACAGAGGGUGCAAGCGUUGUUCGGAAUUACUGGGCGUAAAGGGCGUGUAGGCGGUUUAGCAAGUCAGAUGUGAAAUCCCAGGGCUUAACUCUGGAAGUGCAUUUGAAACUGCUAGGCUAGAGUAUAGUAGAGGUUGGCGGAAUACCCAGUGGAGAGGUGAAAUUCGUAGAUAUUGGGUGGAACACCGGUGGCGAAGGCGGGACUCUGGGCCGAUACUGACGCUGAGGAGCGAAAGCGUGGGGAGCAAACAGG